rnacentral:rRNA from 1 species
CCGCAGUAUAUAGGGUUUGAUCCUGGCUCAGCAGCCGCCGUAACACAUGCAAGUCGAGCGGCAGCGGGAAGUAGUUUACUACUUUGCCGGCGAGCGGCGGACGGGUGAGUAAUGUCUGGGAAACUGCCUGAUGGAGGGGGAUAACUACUGGAAACGGUAGCUAAUACCGCAUAACGUCUUCGGACCAAAGUGGGGGACCUUCGGGCCUCACGCCAUCGGAUGUGCCCAGAUGGGAUUAGCUAGUAGGUGGGGUAAUGGCUCACCUAGGCGACGAUCCCUAGCUGGUCUGAGAGGAUGACCAGCCACACUGGAACUGAGACACGGUCCAGACUCCUACGGGAGGCAGCAGUGGGGAAUAUUGCACAAUGGGCGCAAGCCUGAUGCAGCCAUGCCGCGUGUGUGAAGAAGGCCUUCGGGUUGUAAAGCACUUUCAGCGAGGAGGAAGGCCAAUAACUUAAUACGUUGUUGGAUUGACGUUACUCGCAGAAGAAGCACCGGCUAACUCCGUGCCAGCAGCCGCGGUAAAAC